GCCUGUUUAUCAAAAACAUUGCCUUACGAAAAAAUAUGUAAGGUAAGCCCUGCCCAGUGAGUUCUUAAACGGCCGCGGUACCCUGACCGUGCAAAGGUAGCAUAAUCAUUUGCCCUUUAAUUGGGGGCUGGUAUGAAUGGGUGAACGAGGGCUUAGCUGUCUCACCUAUACUUAUAGAAAUUAACCUUUAGGUGAAGAGGCCUAAAUUAUUAUGAAAGACAAGAAGACCCUGUCGAGCUCUGCACUUCUCCGACCUAUGAAAUUUUAAACACAGAUAAGGAUCACAUCAAGUGCUUCGUUGGGGCGACGAGAGAAAAAAAAACACAUCUCUUGCUUUACAGGUCGACAUACCUACAGAUGACCCAUUACAUAUGAUCAUAGGAAAAAGCUACCGCAGGGAUAACAGGCUAAUCCUCUCAGAAAGCUCCCAUCGACGAGAGGGGUUGGCACCUCGAUGUUGGCUUAGAAUCCCCCCGGAGGCGCAGCAGCCCGAAGGUUGGUUUGUUCAACCAUUAAAAUUC
rnacentral:rRNA from 1 species